rnacentral:rRNA from 1 species
UACGUAGGGGGCAAGCGUUGUCCGGAUUUAUUGGGCGUAAAGAGCGUGUAGGCGGCUAGAUAGGUCCGUUGUGAAAACUCGAGGCUCAACCUCGAGACGUCGAUGGAAACCAUCUGGCUAGAGUCCGGAAGAGGAGAGUGGAAUUCCUGGUGUAGCGGUGAAAUGCGUAGAUAUCGGGAGGAACACCUGUGGCGAAAGCGGCGCACUGGACCACAACUGACGCUGAGGCGCGAAAGCUAGGGGAGCAAACAGG